GGCAGCAGUCGAGAGGCUUUGGCAAUGGGGGAAACCCUGACCAAGCGACGCCGCGUGGGUGAUGAAGGAUUUCGGUUCGUAAAGCCCUGUCAUGGGAGAAGAAAAACCACCGGGACAAUACCCCGGUGGCUUGACGGUAUCCCAGGAGGAAGCUCCGGCAAACUCCGUGCCAGCAGCCGCGGUAAUACGGAGGGAGAAAGCGUUGUUCGGAUUUACUGGGCGUAAAGGGCGUGUAGGCGGCCUGUCAAGUCGGGCGUGAAAUCCUCUGGCUCAACCAGAGAACUGCACCCGAAACUGAUAGGCUUGAGUAUAGGAGAGGAAAGCGGAAUUCCUGGUGUAGCGGUGAAAUGCGUAGAUAUCAGGAAGAACACCAGUGGCGAAGGCGGCUUUCUGGCCUAUUACUGACGCUGAUGCGCGAAAGCCGGGGGAGCGAACAGGAUUAGAUACCCUGGUAGUCCCGGCCGUAAACGUUGGGCACUAGGUGUAGGGGGUAUCGACCCCCUCUGUGCCGAAGCUAACGCAUUAAGUGCCCCGCCUGGGGAGUACGACCGCAAGGUUGAAACUCAAAUGAAUUGACGG
rnacentral:rRNA from 1 species